UAAGGAAUAUUGGACAAUGGACGGAAGUCUGAUCCAGCCAUGCCGCGUGAAGGAAGAAGGCGCUCAGCGUUGUAAACUUCUUUUGGACGGGGACAAACCUGUGGAUUCAUCCGCAGCUGAGGGUACCGUCAGAAUAAGCACCGGCUAACUCCGUG
rnacentral:rRNA from 1 species